CUUGAAGCAGUUUUCUCGGCUAGUUACAAGUCAGAAAUACUUCAAAGUACGCAAUCGAUUAAUUUGACGUCACAAACGAUUUUAGAAAAUUUCUUUCACGAACGAUACAACAAGUAGUAAUUUUUUAGUUAUGAAAUUCCUGAAUUCUACAUUAUUUUUAUUUGUAAUCGGUAUGGGUCAAUUGGUGAUUAGUGAAACUAAUAUUGAUGAAAUAAUGGAAAAACUCAAUCUUACCGAAAAAGCUUUGCCCAUUCCUAAUUGUCCUGAAUUCUGUGGCGACUAUUGCAAUUACUUGGCGGAUCUGAAAGGCCGAUGCACUGGUAAUGAGUGUAAAUGUAGCUAAGUGGAAUCUCAUGUAACAUUAAUUGUCAUUUCAUCAAUAUUGAUGGAUAGAAAAGUCGGAGGAUGGAAUAAAAAUCAUGUGAUUCGUUGCAAUAUUC